rnacentral:lncRNA from 1 species
AGGGAUGGGCUGGAAGCUAAGCUAGGGGAUAAUUAUAACUCCAUCCAUUAAGCACUUACUAUGUGCCAGACAUGUAACAUCCAGCACUUCAAUUGACUCCCAGAAGCCUUGUGGGGUCAGCACUCUUCUUGCUAGAGGGGCUAAAUAACCCGUCAAAGGAACCUGAUAAGGCCACUGUCUGAACCUGACUCCAGGACUCCAAGUUGAGACUUAAGUGUGAGAGUAGAAAUCAAGUGUUCUGUGGGUGUUUUCUUCAAGGAGAUUAUCCAUUUUAAGUAUGUAUCUUCCAAUGAGCCCGACAAUAUUGUGUGACAGAGGCCAACCUGGGAAGGGAAGAAAUUGGUUCCCCCAGAGUGCACCAGGGCACUUCCUGAGUUGGUGACACCCCUCCAUGUGGAAAGAAGAGCAAACCCAACAGAGACAGAGUGAGGCAGAGACAGAGUGAGGCAGUAUUGCCAUCCAGAAGAGAAGGAGAGGUCCCCUCCUUCCUCCAUUUGUGCCCAGCAACUGUGUCUGAGGACUAACAGGUGUCAGACACAUUGGAGGCUUCAGAGAUAGAGCCGUGACAAGGCGGACACGGAGCCCCAUGCCUUCAGACUCACAUUCUGUAGGGACAGGACGCCAAGAAACAAUCUCACACAGAAACCACAAAGAUUGGCAGCCACCACCAGAAGUCGGCAAGAGGCAAGGAGACACUUGCCGGAGUUUCAAGAGAAGGGUGUGGCCCCGCUGGUACCUUGACCUGAGGCUUCUGACCGCCAGUAAUGGGAUAGAACGUUUCUGUUGUUUUCAGACACCUGUGUUUGUCACAGCCACAUGACACAGCUUUGUCUGAGCUACAAGGGACAAAAAUCUUUCAAAUGGAACCAAAUAAACCAAAUAAUUGAUUUCAACUGG